rnacentral:lncRNA from 12 species
AUGCUUAGCCCUACAAAGAUCUUAAUUGUUCUCUCUGCUUGUUUCAGGUGGAGCUGGUACUACAUUCUGAGGCAAAUGGAGUUUUUCCUGAGAUUCUUCAAUCAGGAAAGGAGAGAGGCAUCUCCAAAUGCAGUCUGUGCUAGACAGCAAAAAAUGGCAAUAAAUUCCUCUCCUCCCACUAAGAAUCUUAAUUGGCCAUUUGAUUUGCAUUGACCAAUUGGACAUCAGCAAAUGUGACGCAGUCAGAGGCUUGAAAUCGCUUCAGCAUUCUGGUCUGCCCACCUGCUGAGCUGAGAGCCCUGACACCACCAUAUGAUUCAGCACAACCUAACCUGCCGAAGGAUGGAAGACCCUGCUGCCAACCUACCAACUACUAGACCUGCGGGGAGUCCAUUCUAGAUCAUCCCGCAGACCUGCCAGCUGACCAGCUGGCCCACGCCAAGCCAGAACUUGGGAAUUAUAAACUAAAU